GUGUCAGCCGCCGCGGUAAUACGGAGGGUGCGAGCGUUGCUCGGAAUUACUGGGCGUAAAGCGUGUGUAGGCGGCCAGGCAAGUCAGAUGUGAAAGCCCCCGGCUCCACCGGGGAAUUACAUCUGAUACUGCUUGGCUUGAGUACGGGAGAGGGAGGCGGAAUUCCCAGUGUAGAGGUGAAAUUCGUAGCGAUUGGGAGGAACACCAGUGGCGAAAGCGGCUUCCUGGACCGAUACUGACGCUGAGGCACGAAAGCGUGGGGAGCAAACAGGCUUAUAUACCCUGGUAUUCCACGCCGUAAACGAUGGGCACUAGGUAUGGGAGGUCUUUAUACUUUCCGUGCCGCAGCUAACGCGUUAAGUGCCCCGCCUGGGGAGUACGGCCGCAAGGCUGAAACUUAAAGGAAUUGACGGGG
rnacentral:rRNA from 1 species